CCUACGGGGGGCAGCAGUGAGGAAUAUUGGUCAAUGGGCGCGAGCCUGAACCAGCCAAGUAGCGUGAAGGAUGACGGCCCUACGGGUUGUAAACUGCUUUUAUGAAGGAAUAAAGUGAGGCACGUGUGCCUUUUUGCAUGUACUUUAUGAAUAAGGAUCGGCUAACUCCGUGCCAGCAGCCGCGGUAAUACGGAGGAUCCGAGCGUUAUCCGGAUUUAUUGGGUUUAAAGGGAGCGUAGGUGGGUUGUUAAGUCAGUUGUGAAAGUCUGCGGCUCAACCGUAAAAUUGCAAUUGAUACUGGCAGUCUUGAGUACAGCUGAGGUAGGCGGAAUUCGUGGUGUAGCGGUGAAAUGCUUAGAUAUCACGAAGAACUCCGAUUGCGAAGGCAGCUUACUGAACUGUCACUGACAUUGAUGCUCGAAAGUGUGGGUAUCAAACAGGAUUAGAUACCCUGGUAGUC
rnacentral:rRNA from 1 species